CUGAUGCAGCGACGCCGCGUGGGGGAUGACGGCCUUCGGGUUGUAAACCCCUUUCAGUAGGGAAGAAGCGAGAGUGACGGUACCUGCAGAAGAAGCGCCGGCUAACUACGUGCCAGCAGCCGCGGUAAUACGUAGGGCGCAAGCGUUGUCCGGAAUUAUUGGGCGUAAAGAGCUUGUAGGUGGCUUGUCGCGUCUGCCGUGAAAACCCGAGGCUCAACCUCGGGCGUGCGGUGGGUACGGGCAGGCUAGAGUGUGGUAGGGGAGACUGGAACUCCUGGUGUAGCGGUGAAAUGCGCAGAUAUCAGGAAGAACACCGAUGGCGAAGGCAGGUCUCUGGGCCAUUACUGACACUGAGAAGCGAAAGCAUGGGUAGCGAACAGGAUUAGAUACCCUGGUAGUCCAUGCCGUAAACGUUGGGCACUAGGUGUGGGGGACAUUCCACGUUUUCCGCGCCGUAGCUAACGCAUUAAGUGCCCCGCCUGGGGAGUACGGCCGCAAGGCUAAAACUCAAAGGAAUUGACGGGGGCCCGCACAAGCGGCGGAGCAUGCUGAUUAAUUCGAUGCAACGCGAAGAAC
rnacentral:rRNA from 1 species